UAGAUGGAGAGAGCUUUGCUCAGCU
rnacentral:piRNA from 1 species